CAUGUUCCCGGAAGCUUGGUUUCCGCGAAGUGUUUUGUCAGUGUUUAGCCUUUUUGUUAUCAUUUCCCACGACUCAACGAGACCUCCGGAAUCGCAAACAAGACCCAGAUUAGAUCUUGAUUUCGCUCAGCAGGAAAACGUUGACGCUUUGGGUUGGGAACGUCGCAAAUUUAGUCAAUCUAUCCGCGAAUCGAGACACGACUAAUUAUGGAAACCACGCUAAAUGAUCUUAGCCGAGAGAAGAGGAAAAUAAGGUUAAUGAUUCAAGAAAGCUCAUCAGGCUUUAGACCUAAAGCAGAGAACAGUCCAUCUGGAAGUUCAAACGAACCAGAGCGGAGAAAGGUUACU